rnacentral:rRNA from 1 species
UGCAGUCGAACGGUAACAGGUGUAGCAAUACAUGCUGACGAGUGGCAAACGGGUGCGRAASGCGUAUGUAACCUUCCUUAAACCGGGGGAUAGCCCGAARAAAUUCGGAUUAAUACCCCAUAAUAUUAUUGAAUUGCAUAAUUUGAUAAUUAAAACUCCGGUGGUUUAAGAUGGGCAUGCGUGACAUUAGCUAGUUGGUGAGGUAACGGCUCACCAAGGCGACGAUGUCUAGGGGGUCUGAGAGGAUGAUCCCCCACACUGGUACUGAGACACGGACCAGACUCCUACGGGAGGCAGCAGUAGGGAAUAUUGGUCAAUGGGCGCAAGCCUGAACCAGCCAUGCCGCGUGAAGGAAGAAAGCCUUAUGGGUUGUAAACUUCUUUUUUACGGGAAGAAUCCCCCGGACGUGUCCGGGGUUGACGGUACCGUGCGAAUAAGGAUCGGCUAACUCCGUGCCAGCAGCCGCGGUAAUACGGAGGAUCCAAGCGUUAUCCGGAUUUAUUGGGUUUAAAGGGUGCGUAGGCGGAUUGAUAAGUCAGUGGUGAAAUCCUGCAGCUUAACUGCAUAAUUGCCAUUGAUACUAUCUCUCUUGAGUACAGUUGGAGUGGGUGGAAUUUGUCAUGUAGCGGUGAAAUGCAUAGAUAUGACAAAGAACACCGAUCGCGAAGGCAGCUCACUAAACUGUAACUGACGCUGAGGCACGAAAGCGUGGGGAUCAAACAGGAUUAGAUACCCUGGUAGUCCA